CCUGCCCGAGGUGUAGGGAGGUAUGGUCAGGAUGGCCCCUAAGGUUUCAGCUCCAUCUCGGUUUCUAUGUAUCUCCCAAAGUUUUCUGAGCCUUUCUGAGUCCUGCUUAGAACUAGUUCCUAUCUGCUUAGAACAGCUUGCAAAGAACUCACUCCCAAGGCUGAAAGCAAUGAAAAGUCCUGAAAUUUACUCAGCCUUUCAAGAGAUCCUAAAAGUCAACCCUUUCAGAGACCGUAUCUGCAGAGUGUUCUCCCACAAAGGCGUGUUCUCCUUUGAGGAUGUGCUGGGCAUGGCAUCUGUGUUCAGCGAGCAGGCCUGCCCAAGCCUGAAGAUCGAGUAUGCCUUUCGCAUCUAUGAUUUUAAUGAGAAUGGCUUCAUUGAUGAGGAGGAUCUGCAGAGGAUCAUCCUGCGACUGCUGAACAGUGAUGACAUGUCUGAGGACCUGCUGAUGGACCUCACGAACCACGUCCUGAGUGAGUCGGAUCUGGACAAUGACAACAUGCUGUCCUUCUCAGAGUUUGAACAUGCAAUGGCCAAGUCUCCAGAUUUCAUGAACUCCUUUCGGAUUCACUUCUGGGGAUGCUGAUGUAGCGGCAAAUACCUGAUGUG
rnacentral:sRNA from 1 species